AAAGUCUUAGUUAACUAAUAACAUUAAUUUGUCAAAUUAAAAUGACUAUAACUAGUAGACUUUU
rnacentral:tRNA from 1 species